UAAGGCGAGCUCAGGGAGGACAAACCUUCCGUGGAGCAGAAUAGCAAAAGCCCGUUUGAUUUUGAUUUUCAGUAUGAAUACGUACGGUCUGUGAAAGCAG
rnacentral:ncRNA from 1 species